rnacentral:SRP_RNA from 1 species
GCCGGGCGAGGUGGCGGGCGCCUGUAAUCCCAGCUACUCGGAGGCUGAGGCAGGAGAAUGGCGUGAACCCGGGAGGCGGACGGAGCUUGCAGUGAGCUGAGAUCCGGCCACUGCACUCCAGCCUGGGCGGCAGAGCGAGACUCCGUCUCAAAAAAAAAAAAAAAAAAAAAAAAAGAAAAUUUUUUUUUUGAGAUAGCCUCACUCUGUCGCCCAGGCUGGAGUGCAAUGGGUGGUGUGAUCUCGGCUCACUGCAACCCCCGCCUCCUGGGUUCUAGUGAUUCUCCUGCCU